rnacentral:rRNA from 1 species
AGUUGAUCUGGCUCAGGAUGAACGCUAGCGACAGGCUUAACACAUGCAAGUCGAGGGGCAGCACGGGAGUAGCAAUACUUGGUGGCGACCGGCGCACGGGCGAGUAACGCGUAUGCAACCUACCUAUCAGGAGGGGAAUAACCCGGCGAAAGUCGGACUAAUACCGCAUAAAACAGGGGCACCGCAUGGUGAUAUUUGUUAAAGAAAUUCGCUGAUAGAUGGGCAUGCGUUCCAUUAGGUAGUUGGUGAGGUAACGGCUCACCAAGCCGACGAUGGAUAGGGGAACUGAGAGGUUGGUCCCCCACACUGGUACUGAGACACGGACCAGACUCCUACGGGAGGCAGCAGUGAGGAAUAUUGGUCAAUGGGCGGGAGCCUGAACCAGCCAAGUCGCGUGAAGGGAAAAGAAGGAUCUAUGGUUCGUAAACUUCUUUUGCAGGGGAAUAAAGUGCAGGACGUGUCCUGUUUUGUAUGUACCCUGAGAAUAAGGAUCGGCUAACUCCGUGCCAGCAGCAGC